UUCGGUACAUCGGUGACAGGUGGUGCAUGGUUGUCGUCAGCUCGUGUCGUGAGAUGUUGGUUAAGUCCCGCAACGAGCGCAACCCCUAUUGUUAGUUGCCAUCAUUCAGUUGGGCACUCCAGCGAGACUGCCGGUAAUAAACCGGAGGAAGGUGGGGAUGACGUCAAAUCAUCAUGCCCCUUAUGACCUGGGCUACACACGUGCUACAAUGGUUGGUACAACGAGUUGCGAGUCGGUGACGGUGAGCUAAUCUCUUAAAGCCAAUCUCAGUUCGGAUUGUAGGCUGCAACUCGCCUACAUGAAGUCGGAAUCGCUAGUAAUCGCGGAUCAGCACGCCGCGGUGAAUACGUUCCCGGGCCUU
rnacentral:rRNA from 1 species